CGGGAGUUCGGAAGAGGGACGUAAACACUGCCGAUUGACCACGCACGAACAAUUGGGCCAGCCGAUCGUAAACUCGACGAUCGUCAGAUUCUGAUUUUUUGCAGGUACGACAUUUUCGACGGUUUCUCAUUGUGCGAGACACUCCAAAUAGUGACUAAAGUAUCAAAGAUUUUACGACAAUUUCCGUCGUGUGCGAAUAUCAAGUUAAAAAUACAAAGAAUUACUGUCGU